GGAACAAAACACUCUUUCCGAUACACAGACAACCAAGACUUAAGAUUAUUGACGUGUAAAUGAGAACGUUGCAAACUCUUAUGAGAAAAUCAGCGCAAAUACUAUAAACUUUACAUUACAAGCACAUUUAAAGCAUCGUGAAUUGAAGAUAACUUUUCGCAAUAGUCAAUAAAAUAGCACACACAAAACAACGUUCAUGUUCGCUGUAUAUGUUGAAGUGGCGCGUACGUAUUUUGUUAAUGAUACAGAAGUGCACACUGAUAGCCAAAGGACCUUGUUGUGCGUAUGAAUUGAAUUCAGCGUAACACUGUGUGAAUAACAAUUUCCGUACUUCGUUCGUGUGUCGCGACUGACUUCAUGUGGGGAACAUCAGCCAAUAACCGGACAUUGGUACUUUCAAUUCUGCCCCGGGUCAUUCAAAGCGCAUAGCCACGCGCUAUGAAGAAAAAGGAAGAGAGCUGAUGGAAUCUAAAGACCAAUGUAAAGAUAAUUUUGGCUGUGGCUGCAGUGAUAAGGUGGCACUGGCAGUCUGGAGUGAGACAGAGAGAAACGAGGCCUGACCUGCACAGAUGGAGAGAGUGUGAGCUGUGCCACUGUCCUCAUCGCCGCUUCAUGUCCAGUUCCACAAACUGCACUGCGAAACAUCAUGUGUGCGUUUACGUUAAGGUGGGAGUGUUGAGAAGAUGGCGGAAGAACGAGGAUUACAAAUGUGUCUUAAAAAUAAUGGAUAGUUUUCUUAACUACACAAAUAAAGGUUAUUUUGAUGACACAA
ensembl:lincRNA si:ch211-229g11.6 si:ch211-229g11.6